rnacentral:rRNA from 1 species
UACGGAGGGAGCUAGCGUUAUUCGGAAUUACUGGGCGUAAGGCGUACGUAGGCGGCUUUGCAAGUUAGAGGUGAAAGCCUGGAGCUCAACUCCAGAACUGCCUUUAAAACUGCAUCGCUUGAAUCCAGGAGAGGUGAGUGGAAUUCCGAGUGUAGAGGUGAAAUUCGUAGAUAUUCGGAAGAACACCAGUGGCGAAGGCGGCUCACUGGACUGGUAUUGACGCUGAGGUACGAAAGCGUGGGGAGCAAACAGG